GCGUCGAUGGUGCAACGGUUCAGCACGCUAUCGGAAAGAGUGAGAUCUGGGUUCAAAUCCCGGCUGAUGCA